UACGAAGGGGGCUAGCGUUGCUCGGAAUCACUGGGCGUAAAGCGCACGUAGGCGGCUUUUUAAGUCAGGGGUGAAAUCCUGGAGCUCAACUCCAGAACUGCCUUUGAUACUGGGGAGCUUGAGUCCGGGAGAGGUGAGUGGAACUCCGAGUGUAGAGGUGAAAUUCGUAGAUAUUCGGAAGAACACCAGUGGCGAAGGCGGCUCACUGGCCCGGUACUGACGCUGAGGUGCGAAAGCGUGGGGAGCAAACAGG
rnacentral:rRNA from 1 species